UCCCAGUGUGAUUCUUAGGCAUCUCAGGGCAGAAAGGUGAGCUCUCUAAGUUAGGUGCUGUUACCCAAAGUGGCCUGUAGUGCCCCUAGGGAUAUGUGCUGUUCCAGGAGCAGAUAUCAGAGAGCGGAGGUGAAUGAGGAGCCUAGGGAUGGAUACCCCAGCAUCCCCCUGGAGGCCACCUCGAGUCAUAAACCAACUAAGAUGAUGGCAGAAGGGAAACUAGCAAGAUACACGAGGCAUUCCUUGGGGGUGAAGAAGGAAAAAAAAAUCUUUAUGACCUUCACUGGCUGGGUAAUCACAGACCCACAACCAGGAAGUAAAAUUCUUGAAGCAAGGACCACAUCUAUAAACCUCUUUGGGUUUUGUAAGAUGAGAGACUUGUAAGUGACUGCCCUGAAUGCCUGGCUCUAUCUUUGCAAUGAUGAAUAAAAGAAACAACGUACAUUUUGUUAACA
rnacentral:lncRNA from 1 species